rnacentral:rRNA from 1 species
UGAGGAAUAUUGGACAAUGGGCGCAAGCCUGAUCCAGCCAUGCCGCGUGCAGGAAGAAGGCGUUAUGCGUUGUAAACUGCUUUUUGCCAGGGGAUAAAAAGACCGUGCGCGGUUAAUUGAAGGUACCUGGUGAAGAAGCCCCGGCUAACUUCGUGCCAGCAGCCGCGGUAAUACGAAGGGGGCUAGCGUUGUUCGGAAUUACUGGGCGUAAAGCGCAUGUAGGCGGGUCGUUAAGUCGGGGGUGAAAGCCCAGAGCUCAACUCUGGAACUGCCUUCGAUACUGGCGACCUGGACCCAAGGAGAGGCGAGUGGAAUUGCGAGUGUAGAGGUGAAAUUCGUAGAUAUUCGCAGGAACACCAGUGGCGAAGGCGACUCGCUGGACUUGUGGUGACGCUGAGAUGCGAAAGCGUGGGGAGCAAACAGGAUUAGAUACCCCAGUAGUCCCUGAGCGGGCUGGCAAGGCGCAU